rnacentral:rRNA from 1 species
GCAGCCGCGGUAAUACGUAGGUGGCAAGCGUUAUCCGGAAUUAUUGGGCGUAAAGGGUGCGUAGGCGGUAUAUUAAGUCUGAAGUAAAAUCGUUGGGCUCAACCCAAUCAAGCUUUGGAAACUGGUAUACUGGAGUGCAGGAGAGGCAGAUGGAAUUCCAUGUGUAGCGGUAAAAUGCGUAGAUAUAUGGAGGAACACCAGUGGCGAAGGCGGUCUGCUGGCCUGUAACUGACGCUGAAGCACGAAAGCGUGGGGAGCAAAUAGGAUUAGAUACCCC